UAGUCCACGCCGUAAACGAUGUCUACUUGGAGGUUGUGGCCUUGAGCCGUGGCUUUCAGAGCUAACGCGUUAAGUAGACCGCCUGGGGAGUACGGUCGCAAGAUUAAAACUCAAAUGAAUUGACGGGGGCCCGCACAAGCGGUGGAGCAUGUGGUUUAAUUCGAUGCAACGCGAAGAACCUUACCUACUCUUGACAUCCAGAGAAGCUUGAAGAGAUUCGAGUGUGCCUUCGGGAACUCUGAGACAGGUGCUGCAUGGCCGUCGUCAGCUCGUGUUGUGAAAUGUUGGGUUAAGUCCCGCAACGAGCGCAACCCUUAUCCUUGUUUGCCAGCACGUAAUGGUGGGAACUCCAGGGAGACUGCCGGUGAUAAACCGGGAGGAAGGGUGGGGGACGACGGUCAAGGUCAGUCAUGGGCCCUUACGAGUAGGGGCUACACACGUGCUACAAUGGGCUAUACAGAGGGCUGCCAACUCGCGAGAGUGAGCGAAUCCC
rnacentral:rRNA from 1 species